rnacentral:rRNA from 1 species
UGGUGCGAUCAUACCAACACUAAUGCAUUGGAUCCCAUCAGAACUCCGCAGUGAAGAGUGCUUGGGCGAGAGCAGUACUAGGACGAGUGAUAUGAUUCCACUAU